rnacentral:rRNA from 1 species
UUCCGGUUGAUCCUGCCGGACCCGACUGCUAUCAGAGUGGGACUAAGCCAUGCGAGUCGACGUAGCAAUGCGUGGCGAACGGCUCAGUAACACGUAGUCAACAUGCCCAGGGGACGUGGAUAACCUCGGGAAACUGAGAAUAAACCACGAUAGGUCACGAUUUCUGGAAUGGAUCAUGGCCUAAAUCUACAUGGCCCCUGGAUUGGACUGCGGCCGAUCAGGCAGUUGGUGAGGUAAUGGCCCACCAAACCUAUAACCGGUACGGGCUCUGAGAGGAGAAGCCCGGAGAUGGGCACUGAGACAAGGGCCCAGGCCCUAUGGGGCGCAGCAGGCGCGAAACCUCUGCAAUAGGCGAAAGCCUGACAGGGUUACUCUGAGUGAUUUCCGCUAAGGGGAUCUUUUGGCACCUCUAAAAAUGGUGCAGAAUAAGGGGUGGGCAAGUCUGGUGUCAGCCGCCGCGGUAAUACCAGCACCCCGAGUGGUCGGGACGAUUAUUGGGCCUAAAGCAUCCGUAGCCGGUUCUGCAAGUCUUCCGUUAAAUCCAGCCGCUCAACGGAUGGGCCGCGGAGGAUACUACAGGACUAGGAGGCGGGAGAGGCAAGCGGUACUCAGUGGGUAGGGGUAAAAUCUUUGAUCCAUUGAAGACCACCAGUGGCGAAGGCGGCUUGCCAGAACGCGCUCGACGGUGAGGGAUGAAAGCUGGGGGAGCAAACCGGAUUAGAUACCCGGGUAGUCCCAG